rnacentral:antisense_RNA from 3 species
CUUCAGCGACCCCAGCCAGAUCGGCCGGUCGGCCGGCCGGUUCUGCCCGUACGUCGCCAGCAGCGCCUGCGCCUC